CUCUAUAGCCCGGAACCUCCCUGCUUACCUAAUCUCUAGAAGAGGCUUCCAGAUGCACCUAGAGGUUAUAUGUUACUGUCUUCUUGGGUCACUCCAAUACAGCUGUGUUGGUAAUGAAGAUAAACUACCACCCAGCUUAUGCAGAGCAGAAAUUGAUUUCUUCCUCCUACAACAAAACAGUUCAGUAGCUGAUGGACGAUGUCAUUUGCCAAUUUAAUAUUGAUACAUGUGCUUCUGGACUAAGAUGAGAAAUGUGUGUCUCAUUCUGUCUGAUCAGAAAUGUUACAGGCCAUGAAUCUAAUCUAUAGUCCUUUUGGGGGAAAAAAAAGUCUGUUAUGUUAUUUUUAGAAUAGCAGUGUAUUUCUCUGUCCUAGGUCUCCCCAGGACUUUCUUCGUCUAGCUCUCUCUGUGGCACACAUCCAGUAAGCAGUGCUUCUCAGGAGGUUCAAAGGGCACUCAAGCAAAGACUGAGACUUGUAUAUUUGCAAAACUAAUGGGCUCUAUUUCUUUAAAUCAGAAAGAAUCCUGGUAGCUAAGUAUUAUUUUUAUACUGAUUUCUCAAUCUAAAAUAUAAUUUCAAACUCUUUUGUUGCAGCUGGGAUGUAGCUUAUCCUAUCCAGGUCUUAUCACUAACAAGACAAAUUAUUUGAUUUUUUUAAAAAAUCCUACUUUUAUGUGUAUUGUCUUUUGUUGCACUGUAAACACAGAGUACUUUAAAUUAGAAAUUAGAAACAUACAUCGAAAAAUAGAAAAUAACAUUUUCAUUAUGAUGGAUGGAACCUAAUCAGGCAAAGCUGAUAGUUAUUUAUGUGUGUUUUAAUUGGUCAGCAUUACAUGAGCUUAAUUCCCUUCAUUAGGUGUUCGGAUGUAAAUCAGUGGUAGACUGAUUGCUUGGCAUAGUUAAAGAAUUAGGUUCAAUCCACAGCAUCAAAAUGACAAAAGAGGAGGAGGGAAAGAAGGAGAAGGAUGUGGCAUGAAGACAGAAGAUAAAAAUACUUUCACUAACCUAAGAGAUUAUUUAAAUUUGGCUCAAGAAAUUAAAUUUUAAUAAUAUCCCAUGGCUUAAAUGAAACUCACAACAUUGGCAAACC
rnacentral:lncRNA from 1 species